rnacentral:rRNA from 1 species
GGGGAGCGAACAGGAUUAGAUACCCUGGUAGUCCACGCCGUAAACGUUGGGCGCUAGAUGUGGGGASCAUUCCACGGUUUCCGUGUCGCAGCUAACGCAUUAAGCGCCCCGCCUGGGGAGUACGGCCGCMAGGCUAAAACUCAAAGGAAUUGACGGGGGCCCRCACAARCGGCGGAGCAUGCGGAUUAAUUCGAUGCAACGCGAAGAACCUUACCAAGGCUUGACAUACACGAGAACGGGCCAGAAAUGGUCAACUCUUUGGACACUCGUGAACAGGUGGUGCAUGGUUGUCGUCAGCUCGUGUCGUGAGAUGUUGGGUUAAGUCCCGCAACGAGCGCAACCCUCGUUCUAUGUUGCCAGCGCGUAAUGGCGGGAACUCAUAGGAGACUGCCGGGGUCAACUCGGAGGAAGGUGGGGAUGACGUCAAAUCAUCAUGCCCCUUAUGUCUUGGGCUUCACGCAUGCUACAAUGGCCGGUACAAAGGGCUGCAAUACCGUAAGGUGGAGCGAAUCCCAAAAAGCCGGUCUCAGUUCGGAUUGAGGUCUGCAACUCGACCUCAUGAAGUCGGAGUCGCUAGUAAUCGCAGAUCAGCAACGCUGCGGUGAAUACGUUCCCGGGCCUUGUACACACCGA